UACGGGGGGGGCAAGCGUUGUUCGGAAUUACUGGGCGUAAAGGGCUCGUAGGCGGCCAACUAAGUCGGAUGUGAAAUCCCCAGGCUUAACCUGGGAACUGCAUCCGAUACUGGAUGGCUUGAAUCCGGGAGAGGGAUGCAGAAUUCCAGGUGUAGCGGUGAAAUGCGUAGAUAUCUGGAGGAAUACCGGUGGCGAAGGCGGCAUCCUGGACCGGCAUUGACGCUGAGGAGCGAAAGCCAGGGGAGCAAACGGG
rnacentral:rRNA from 1 species